UUAAAAUGAUGAAACCUAUUCAGUUCUGCUUCUGAUAAGUAAUUGAAGAUACAUUGCCCAGCUGAUUUGAUAU
rfam:Plasmodium vivax chromosome 9, whole genome shotgun sequence.